UGGGGAAUUUUGGACAAUGGGGGCAACCCUGAUCCAGCGACGCCGCGUGAAGGAUGAAGGUCUUCGGAUUGUAAACUUCUUUUGGAGGGGAUGAAUGUCUGCGUGAAUAACGCAGAGUGACAGUACUCUCUGAAUAAGCCACGGCUAACUACGUGCCAGCAGCCGCGGUAAUACGUAGGUGGCGAGCGAUACUCGGAAUCACUAGGCGUAAAGCGCAGGUAGGCGGUUCGGUAAGUCUCUUGUGAAAGCUCCUGGCUCAACUGGGAGAGGUCAAGGGAAACUGUCGGGCUAGAGUGUGGUAGGGGAUACUGGAAUUCCUGGUGUAGCGGUGAAAUGCGUAGAUAUCAGGAGGAAUACCUAUGGCGAAAGCAGGUAUCUGGGCCAUCACUGACGCUGAGCUGCGAAAGCUAGGGGAGCAAACAGGAUUAGAUACCCGUGUAGUCC
rnacentral:rRNA from 1 species